rnacentral:tRNA from 1 species
GACGAGGUGGCCGAGUGGUUAAGGCGAUGGACUGCAUAUCCAUUGGGCUCUGCCCGCAUGGGUUCGAAUCCCAUCCCCGUCG